CCUACGGGUGGCAGCAGUGGGGCAUAUUGGGCAAUGGGCGCAAGCCUGACCCAGCAACGCCGCGUGAAGGAAGAAGGCUUUCGGGUUGUAAACUUCUUUUCUCAGGGACGAAGCAAGUGACGGUACCUGAGGAAUAAGCCCCGGCUAACUCCGUGCCAGCAGCCGCGGUAAUACGUAGGUGGCAAGCGUUAUCCGGAUUUACUGUGUGUAAAGGGCGUGUAGGCGGGGACGCAAGUCAGAUGUGAAACCCACGGGCUCAACCUGUGGCCUGCAUUUGAAACUGUGUUUCUUGAGUACUGGAGAGGCAGACGGAAUGCCUAGUGUAGCGGUGAAAUGCGUAGAUAUUAGGAGGAACACCAGUGGCGAAGGCGGUCUGCUGGACAGCAACUGACGCUGAGGCGCGAAAGCGUGGGGAGUAAACAGGAUUAGAUACCCUUGUAGUC
rnacentral:rRNA from 1 species